rnacentral:lncRNA from 1 species
ACUCGACGAGUAUAGACAUCCUGACACCACUCGCCGAGUCUGAAGAACGACUCGACGAGUUCCAGUAGAUCUUCAAGCUACUCGCCGAGUCUGAAGAACAACUCGACGAGUCCUAGUGAACCUUCAAGCUACUCGCCGAGUCUGAAGAACAACUCGGCGAGUUCUAGUGAAUCUUCAAGCUACUCGCCGAGUCUGAUCAUUGGACUCGGCGAGUCCUCGCCAUGCAGUCAAUCCGCUGCCUCCUGUAUUUCGCAUGAUUUCGAAGUAUAUAGAUAUAGGGCUUCCUGGACUUUCACAUAUACUAUUACAGGGGUUUUUAACACUUAUAACAACAAUAUAAUCCAACUAACCCUUAAUUGGGUUUCCUAAACCCUAAACUCGCAUACAACGUAAAAGUUACAGAUUUCGAUCCGAAGAUUACCUGGAAACGUGUUCCCUGUGUCUCCAAACCUCCAGUACUCGAUUCCUUUGAUCACCACCUUGCUCCUCCUUGUCUAACAAUCUCUUCAAGCCUUCUCAAGUCCUCUCUCUUGCUUCAGAUGCUCACACACUCCCAGGGGAUCUUCAACCGGCCAAAAGACGCGACAUGACGGCCAUAAGAUCGUUAUAUACGAUCAGAAAUGAAACGGCUAGGGUUCAGCUGAACAGCGUCGACUCGCCGAGUCCCUUAUUGGACUCGUCGAGUCCAGUCGCGCGUCUGCGACCAAGACCAUGGCCCUACUCGGCGAGUCGUGCACCAACUCGCCGAGUCCCCUCCUAAAUGUGCCCCAAAAAUAAUUUAAAGAAAUACCUGAAAUUCCGGGCUGUUACAACUCUCCCCCACUAGAACUAGACUUCGCCCUCGAAGUCUCUCAUUCUGCGAAUAACUCCGGAUGUUGCUCCCGCAUUUCUCUUUCCGGCUCCCAAGUCAUCUCCGAUCCCUUCCGAUGUUGCCACUGAACUAACACCAGAGGUAUUUCCUUGUUCCGAAGAACCUUGAUCUUCCGAUCUCUGAUAGCUACUGGUCUCUCGGCGUAAUUCAGACUCGCAUCUACCUGGAUAUCUUCUAACGGAACCACUGCUGCCUCAUCGGCUAUACACUUCCUCAGCUGUGAUACGUGGAAGGUAUUGUGAAUCUGAUUCAGCUCCGCUGGCAACUCCAACCGAUAAGCUACCCGACCUACCCUUGCAAUUACCCGAAAUGGACCUAUGAACCGGGGCCCCAAUUUGCCCCUCUUCCUGAACCGAAUCACCCCUUUCCAAGGAGAAACCUUUAAGAGAACGAAGUCGCCGACCUGGAAUUCGAGUUCGGACCGGCGUCUGUCCGUAUAACUCUUCUGUCGGCUCUGGGCGGUCAAUAACCUCUGCCUCACCCGUUUGAUCUGCUCAGCCGUUUGAAGUACGAUCUCUGUACUGCCCAUCACUCUAUGUCCCACUUCUCCCCAGCAAAUGGGAGUCCGACACCUCCUACCAUACAACAACUCAAAAGGUGGCAUACCAAUGCUCGAAUGAUGGCUGUUGUUGUAGGAAAACUCAGCCAGCGGCAGAUGCGCAUCCCAGCUACCCCCGAAGUCUAACCAUCUCCUCUGGCGCAUGUUUAGGUUGGGUUGAUCCAUCAAAUACUUCAAACUCUUAUGGUCCGUGUAUAUGGUACAACGAACCCCGUACAGGUAGUGACGCCAAAUUUUGAGGGCGAACACUACUGCCCCCAACUCUAAGUCAUGCGUGGGAUAUCUCGCUUCGUGAGGCUUCAGCUGCCUCGAUGCAUAGGCUAUCACAUGGCCCCUCUGCAUCAACACUGCACCCAGUCCUGAAAUCGAUGCGUCGCAAUAUACGACGAAGUCCUCCAUCCCUUCAGGAAGGGCUAAUACUGGUGCUUCGCACAGUCUCUGACGAAGUGUCUCGAAGGAAGUCUGCUGCUCGGGUCCCCAUGAGAAUGUAACACCCUUUCGGGUCAAUUUGGUAAGUGGCACUGCGAUCUUGGAGAAGUCCCUAAUGAACCUUCGAUAGUACCCCGCCAACCCAAGGAAACUCCUGAUCUCCGAAGGUGACUUUGGUGCCUCCCAUCUCAUCACCGCCUCCACCUUGGCCGGAUCGACCAAUAUCCCUGCCUGAUUUACAACGUGCCCCAGAAAUUGAACCUCCCGUAACCAGAAGUCACAUUUGGAGAAUUUUGCAUAUAGCUUCUCCGACCUCAGUACCUCAAGGACCUCCCUCAAAUGUCCCUCAUGCUGCUCCCUAGACCGCGAAUACACCAGAAUGUCGUCGAUGAAUACAAUCACAGACCGAUCCAGCAUCGGCCUGCAUACCCUGUUCAUGAGAUCCAUGAACACUGCUGGGGCAUUGGUGAGCCCAAAAGGCAUCACCACGAACUCGUAAUGCCCAUACCGCGUCCUAAAGGCUGUCUUCUGGACGUCCUCAUCCCGCACCCUUACCUGAUGGUACCCUGAUCUCAAAUCAAUCUUGGAAAACCAAGAUGCCCCUUGCAACUGAUCGAAUAGAUCAUCGAUUCUUGGUAACGGAUAGCGGUUCUUAACUGUCACCUUGUUCAGUUCCCGGUAAUCGAUACACAUCCGGUGUGAACCAUCCUUCUUCUUGACGAACAGAAUCGGUGCUCCCCACGGCGAGCUACUCGGCCGAAUAAAUCCCUUCCCCAACAACUCUUGAAGUUGCGAGGACAAUUCUUGCAUCUCUGGAGGUGCAAGACGAUAAGGCACCUUCGCAAUAGGCGCCGCCCCUGGAACUAGGUCGAUACCAAACUCCACUUGCCUCGCAGGAGGUAUUCCCGGCAAAUCCUCGGGGAAAACAUCUGGAAACUCGCGCACCACUGGAACCUCCUGCAAUGUCUUCGGUCUCUCGGAACUCUCCCGCGUAUCCAUCACAUACGCCACGAAACCGUUACAUCCCCGCUGUAGGCAUUGCCUCGCCCUAGCAGCCGAACAAAAAGCUGAUCUCGAACGGGUACCCUCGCCGUACACCGUAAGAACUCCCCCACUAGGGUCUCGUAUAGUCACCAACUGACGCUCGCAGUCGAUGACAGCGCUGAAUCGGCUCAACCAGUCCAUGCCUACAAUGACACAGACAUCACCCAUCGCAAUAGGAAUUAGGUCAAUCGGAAAUGCGACCCCGAAGAUCUCUAGCACACAUCCCCGAAAAACCUCCGUAGCACAAAUCACCCUCUCAGCCGCAAUGGAAACGCUCAAAGGCCGACUUAACGGCUCACGACUAAUGCCGAUGUGCUGACUAAAAGCUAACGAUACAAACGAUCUACUCGCACCCGAAUCAAAUAAUACUAGAGCAGGCAUAGAGUUCACAAGGAAAGUACCUACACAUACAUUAACAUAAGCAUAACAUUUCGACCUUUAAUUAAAUACAUGAAAGAUAACAUACCUGCCACCACAUCGGGCGCAGCGCGGACCUCCUCCGCAGUCAGCUGAAAGGCUCUCCCGCGAGCCCUCGGGGCCUCGACCUUCACCGGUCGGGUCUCAGUAGUCCGGGUAGUAGGUGUAGCUCCCUGACGAAGUUGCGGGCACUCGGCCUUCCGAUGGCCUGUCUGGUUGCAGUGAAAACAAACCAUAAACCCCUUAGGGCAAUCCCUGGCAAUAUGUCCGUCCUUGCCACACUUGUAGCAACCACCAGUUCGACACGCCCCCUCGUGACUUUUGCCGCACUUCGCGCAAGUGCGACCCUUCGAACCUCCCAUCCUCGAAUCAGCGAACUUAAUCCGCUUGGCUGCCGGCUGAGACUGGGCCGGCCGUCGAUCCACCUGCCGAGACUCAGCCUCCUCCCUCGCUUGAGUCUCCAACUCAAUCUCGCGCUUCCUGGCGUUCGCCUGAAGCUCAGUGAAAGUACGAUAGGUGGAGUUUGACACAAACUCCCGAAUCUCCCUCUUCAAAACACCCAAAUAGCGGCUCAUCCGCGACUGCUCCGUAGAUACCAGCUCGGGGCAGAACAUUGCCCUCUCAUGAAACUUCCGUGUGAUCACUGCCACGGAAUCAGUACCCUGCUUAAGGGUCAAGAACUCCUGAAUCAACCGCUCCCUCUCUACCGGGGGAACGUACUCAUCCCUGAACAUCUCCGUAAACCUCUCCCAUGUCACUGCCGUAAUCUCUGCCUGAGUGAAGUUCACCGUCACGAACUUCCACCAAUCCUUCGCUCCCAGACGGAGCUGGUUCAAGGCGAACCGUACCCUCAAGUGUUCCGGGCAUGAGCAAGUAUAGAAGCACCCCUCGAUGUCGGCGAUCCACCUCAUGGCUGCAAUCGGAUCCUGCGUCCCAUCAAAUUCAGGGGGUUUCGUGUUGCUGAAUUCCCUGAAUGGUAAUGAAUCACCCCCUUGCGGCCUGGCAGCAGCCACCGCUGCGGUAGCGGCAGCAACUGCAGCUUCAGAAAUUGCGGCGCACCGCUCCUCAAACUCCUCCAUCAACGUGGUCUUAAUAGACCCAAACAUCUCCGGGAUCUCAGCCCGGACCGCCGCAGCUACCUCUUCCUGAAUAAUCUGACGAAUCUCCUCGUCACUCGCACCGCUCGAACUCGCCCCAUUGCGUGUGACAACCAUGAUGUCUCUGAAAUACAACAUAAAAUCAUCAGAGACUCCACCAAGUACAAUUGUACUCGAUACGCGCCCUACCCAGUCUCCGAUUUCCAGGGAUUCUUAUUUGAGUCUUCCACUGAUCCGGUGCCUUCGAUAGUACGGGCCCAAUACUACCGACCACACCGUAUCAGUAUUCGUCCCAAAUCUUCCUCCCCAAAUCCCGAAUAACGAGUACUCUACUUCUAGUAUGCACUAUUUACUUGCACGCUACCAAAUAUCUCAUAUAAGCAAUCUCCCUAGACUAAGGCAUCACAAAACAGGCAAUUCUAUUCCUAUCAUGUAUACCUAGUCUUCUAGCAUGCAUAACAAUUCAUAAUUCAGUGCAUAACAUAACAUCGUAAGGUAUUCUGGGGAUCUUUACCGUUCGGACGCUGGCUGCUCGUACACACUGUUCCACCCUUGUUUUUACCGCCUUGCCCUUUAUAAAAUGUUAUGUCCUUAUUAUUUUUAAGAAAAAGUUUUUCCUCAAAUCCCCGGUCUGAGUUCAGUUGCACCCAAAAGUACACCCGAAUCCCUCAAACCAAGGCUCUGAUACCAAUUGUAACAGCUCAAAUUUUCAAAUAAAUUUUUCGUUAAAAACAAAACAUCAUUAUUCGACAAAAGGGUUUAUUCCAAGUUUAUUUCAAAAUAUAAAUAAUAAAUCUCCAGGAUCUUCAACAGUGGCAGUGUGUACGUGUCACGCCGGCGCCUUUCCACGGUCAUCACUAGUACCUGAAAAACAUAAACACAACUAGUAAGCAUAAAUGCUUAGUGAGUUCCCCAGUAUACGACUUACCCACAUACGCCUUCCGGCCCGGACCUUUCGGUCCACAUAAUAUUGCCUUCCGGCCCGGACCUUUCGGUCCACAUAACAUUGCCUUCCGGCCCGGACCUUUCGGUCCACAUAACAUAUAUCGCAUAUAAGCACACAUCACAUAUAAAGCAUCUACCUCUCUAGACAUAGUAUGAAUAUAACACACACGACCUUCCGGUCUAACAGUCAAACCCUUCCGGGUGAAGUAUAGUGAGAAGACUCACCUCGUAGUACGCAGGCUAUAACCUCUUCGAGCUACUCGCACACAAUCCGCUAGUCCGCAGGUUCCCUAUAAUACCACAGCCUUAGUUAAUGAUCUUAUCAAACAAGACAACUGACCCCUCUAAGAUAUAUACAGGUCAACGGUCAAUCUUGACCGGACUCGUCGAGUGCAAAGGGUAACUCGACGAGUAUAGACAUCCUGACACCACUCGCCGAGUCUGAAGAACGACUCGACGAGUUCCAGUAGAUCUUCAAGCUACUCGCCGAGUCUGAAGAACAACUCGACGAGUCCUAGUGAACCUUCAAGCUACUCGCCGAGUCUGAAGAACAACUCGGCGAGUUCUAGUGAAUCUUCAAGCUACUCGCCGAGUCUGAUCAUUGGACUCGGCGAGUCCUCGCCAUGCAGUCAAUCCGCUGCCUCCUGUAUUUCGCAUGAUUUCGAAGUAUAUAGAUAUAGGGCUUCCUGGACUUUCACAUAUACUAUUAUAGGGGUUUUUAACACUAAUAACAACAAUAUAAUCCAACUAACCUUUGAUUGGGUUUCCUAAACCCUAAACUCGCAUACAACGUAAAAGUUACAAAUUUCGAUCCGAAGAUUACCUGGAAACGUGUUCCCUGUGUCUCCAAACCUCCAAUACUCGAUUCCUUUGAUCACCACCUUGCUCCUCCUUGUCUAACAAUCUCUUCAAGCCUUCUCAAGUCCUCUCUCUUGCUUCAGAUGCUCACACACUCCCAGGGGAUCUUCAACCGGCCAAAAGACGCGACAUGACGGCCAUAAGAUCGUUAUAUACGAUCAGAAAUGAAACGGCUAGGGUUCAGCUGAAACAGCGUCGACUCG